GACAACUGGAUUAGUCCUGUUUUAAACUACCAUUAAACCUCGUGUGUGUGCUGUGCUUGCUGCUGGGACUCUGACCGAGGCAGUAAUUGGUACCAGGUGAAAGAAUGCAGAGAGAUAAAUGUGCCUGGAGUCUUAAGAAAACUGAUGAUUGAUCUACUAAAUGGAUGAAAGAAUUUAUUCACAUAAAAAUCCUGCCUUUGAAACUAAGGCACAUGGACACACCCUUUAAGCCAGGAUUUCAAUGAAAAAACCUAGCCAAUCCAGUUUUAACAUUGUCAUUGGUGGUGUUAACAUGGAGACAGUCGCCUUCUUGUUGCUCAAUAGGGUGAGACUUUGCAAAAGGCUUGGGCAUGUACAACGUGUCUAGCUUCAGCCACCUCCUUCUCCUCCAUUGCCAAAGAAGCAGAAGCCAAGGAACCAUCUCCUUAUUGUUCUCUUGCAUAAAUGGGCCGACUGCCCAUUGGGGGAGGGUGGCGCCUAGACAUUUACGUGACCUGCUGUGGAAGGGUGGGGUUACUGUCUCAAAGUCCCUGCUCUUAAAAACUAGGGAAAGAAGGCCCUUCUAAGUAAAAGGAAAAGAAAAAUAAUUGACCUGUAAGCCUGCAGGCUGCUACUAAUGGGAAAGAAUGCUAGAGCACUUCACUGCUAGCAAGGACAGCUGAAGAAAAUGCAGUCCAGGCCCAUAAGAAACAUGAAGAUUGCCAGCCCCUCGCCUUGCUGUUCAGCAUCAGAAGACCACCUUAGUUUUUUUUUUGUUUUUUUUUUUUGGUUUUUUUUCACCAGACACACACAAUUGAGCUCUUUUGAAUCUGGCAUCACAGAUGUUGAGACAUAUUUUUGCAGAGCAGUUUGUGAUGACAUUGAUGAGCUAUAUUGCCUCACAGUGAUCUCUCAAGGUGAGCGAAGGCAAUCCAACAGAUGUGGAAACUAAAGUGUUGGGAGCCCUGGCACAA